AUGGCACCCAGGCACGCACCUUCCUCCGCCACAGCCAACGGUCAUCUCCGCCGUCCGCCCCCGCCUCACCCGCACCCACAGCCUCACCCGCCAGCGGGUCACUUCGAUCGCCGGCGGCCAGAUAGCGUUCCCGUCCCUACUGCUGCGGCGGCAGCCCCAUCCUCUUCCGCGGCGGACAGAUCUCGUCCUGCCACGGAGGUCCUGGAACCGGACAACGAUGGUUGGAUCGAAGUGCGGAACCGACGUCGACAGCGCCGUUACGAUGAUGCCGCCGCCGUCAAGCAACAGGAUAACUACAAGCCUUGGAUUCCUCGGUGGUUGGUGGGGCGUUGUUUUAAAUGCCUGGAGUCGGGCCACCUCAAAACGAAGUGCCCCAGUGAGAUCCGUUGUCACCGGUGCUAGAUCUCGGGCCACAUAGCUCGUGAUUGCCACUCCCACCCCACCUUUCAAGCUAAGCCCGCUCCUCCCCGUCGCCGAGAUCCCGCCCCCCGGGCCCGCCGCCAACCGCAGGCCUCCGUGCAGGGCAGACGACCGCCUGUGUCGUCGGAGGCACUGGUGCUGGCUCUGGGUCAGAUCUGUGGUGUGGAACGGCGCCAUGUUAGGGUGGAGGUCACCCACCCUGCCGACUUCUUCCUCACCUUUGCAUCGACCGAAGACUGUGAUCGGGUCUUCCGUGAAUUAGGCCGGAUCAGGUGCGCUGGAGCCCCCAUCGCGUUCCAGCGCUGGCACAGGAGUGCGCAGGCUUCUAGCGGCAAAUUGGAGUUUUUUUGCAAGCUUGGGAUUGAGGGUUUGCCGGCCAGUGCCUGGGAGUGGGGCUCCGUCAGUCAGCUCGUUAACAAGCUCCACGGCCAGUUGGUGGAAAUCCUCCCACCAGAUGACCGCUGGCAACUUGAUGUCACUGCCUGGAUGAAGAACCCCUCUGGUAUAUCUAAGAUCUACGGUCUCGAAGUCCCGGAUCCGUCUGGCCUGCCAGACACUGUGGAUGAGGACUGGCCGGUGGCACCACCGCCGCCC
rnacentral:rRNA from 1 species